rnacentral:rRNA from 1 species
GAUGAACGCUGGCGGCGUGCCUAAUACAUGCAAGUCGAGCGAACAGACGAGGAGCUUGCUCCUCUGACGUUAGCGGCGGACGGGUGAGUAACACGUGGAUAACCUACCUAUAAGACUGGGAUAACUUUGGGAAACCGGAGCUAAUACCGGAUAAUAUAUUGAACCGCAUGGUUCAAUAGUGAAAGACGGUUUUGCUGUCACUUAUAGAUGGAUCCGCGCCGCAUUAGCUAGUUGGUAAGGUAACGGCUUACCAAGGCGACGAUGCGUAGCCGACCUGAGAGGGUGAUCGGCCACACUGGAACUGAGACACGGUCCAGACUCCUACGGGAGGCAGCAGUAGGGAAUCUUCCGCAAUGGGCGAAAGCCUGACGGAGCAACGCCGCGUGAGUGAUGAAGGUCUUCGGAUCGUAAAACUCUGUUAUUAGGGAAGAACAAAUGUGUAAGUAACUAUGCACGUCUUGACGGUACCUAAUCAGAAAGCCACGGCUAACUACGUGC